GAUGGAGAACGUAGCGAAAUGCGAUAAGUAAUGUGAAUUGCAGAAUUCAGUGAAUCAUCGAGUCUUUGAACGCACAUUGCGCCCCCUGGUAUUCCGGGGGGCAUGCCUGUCCGAGCGUCAUUGCUGCCCUCAAGCACGGCUUGUGUGUUGGGCCGUCGUCCCCCUCCUAGGGGACGGGCCCGAAAGGCAGCGGCGGCACCGCGUCCGGUCCUCGAGCGUAUGGGGCUUCGUCACCCGCUCCGUAGGCCCGGCCGGCGCUUGCCGACGACCAUCAAUCUCUUUCUCCAGGUUGACCUCGGAUCAGGUAGGGAUACCCGCUGAACUUAAGCAUAUCAAUAAGCGGAGGA
rnacentral:misc_RNA from 1 species